rnacentral:rRNA from 1 species
UACGUAGGGAGCAAGCGUUGUCCGGAAUCAUUGGGCGUAAAGAGCUCGUAGGCGGUUUGUCGCGUCUGCUGUGAAACCCGAGGCUCAACCUCGGGCCUGCAGUGGGUACGGGCAGACUAGAGUGCGGUAGGGGAGAUUGGAAUUCCUGGUGUAGCGGUGGAAUGCGCAGAUAUCAGGAGGAACACCAAUGGCGAAGGCAGAUCUCUGGGCCGUAACUGACGCUGAGGAGCGAAAGCAUGGGGAGCGAACAGG